GCCCUACGGGGCGCAGCAGUGGGGAAUAUCGGGCAAUGGGCGCAAGCCUGACCCAGCAACGCCGCGUGAAGGAAGAAGGCUUUCGGGUUGUAAACUUCUUUUAUGAGGGACGAAACAAAUGACGGUACCUCAUGAAUAAGCCACGGCUAACUACGUGCCAGCAGCCGCGGUAAUACGUAGGUGGCAAGCGUUAUCCGGAUUUACUGGGUGUAAAGGGCGUGUAGGCGGGGCUGCAAGUCAGAUGUGAAAAUUAUGGGCUCAACCCAUAACCUGCAUUUGAAACUGUAGUUCUUGAGUGAUGGAGA
rnacentral:rRNA from 1 species